rnacentral:rRNA from 1 species
UAGCUAGUUGGUGAGGUAACGGCUUACCAAGGCGACGAUCUGUAGCGGGUCUGAGAGGAUGAUCCGCCACACUGGAACUGAGACACGGUCCAGACUCCUACGGGAGGCAGCAGUGGGGAAUUUUGGACAAUGGGGGCAACCCUGAUCCAGCCAUGCCGCGUGAGUGAAGAAGGCCUUCGGGUUGUAAAGCUCUUUCGGCCGGGAAGAAAUCGCAUGGGCCAAUACUCUGUGUGGAUGACGGUACCGGAAUAAGAAGCACCGGCUAACUACGUGCCAGCAGCCGCGGUAAUACGUAGGGUGCGAGCGUUAAUCGGAAUUACUGGGCGUAAAGCGUGCGCAGGCGGUUUUGUAAGACAGGCGUGAAAUCCCCGGGCUCAACCUGGGAACUGCGUUUGUGACUGCAAGGCUAGAGUACGGCAGAGGGGGGUGGAAUUCCACGUGUAGCAGUGAAAUGCGUAGAGAUGUGGAGGAACACCAAUGGCGAAGGCAGCCCCCUGGGUCGAUACUGACGCUCAUGCACGAAAGCGUGGGUAGCAAACAGGAUUAGAUACCCUGGUAGUCCACGCCCUAAACUAUGUCAACUAGGUGUUGGGUGGGUAAAACCAUUUAGUACCGUAGCUAACGCGUGAAGUUGACCGCCUGGGGAGUACGGCCGCAAGGUUAAAACUCAAAGGAAUUGACGGGGACCCGCACAAGCGGUGGAUGAUGUGGAUUAAUUCGAUGCAACGCGAAAAACCUUACCUACCCUUGACAUGCCAGGAACUUGCCAGAGAUGGCUUGGUGCCCGAAAGGGAGCCUGGACACAGGUGCUGCAUGGCUGUCGUCAGCUCGUGUCGUGAGAUGUUGGGUUAAGCCCGCAACGAGCGCAACCCUUGUCGUUAAUUGCCAUCAUUUAGUUGGGCACUUUAGCGAGACUGCCGGUGACAAACCGGAGGAAGGUGGGGAUGACGUCAAGUCCUCAUGGCCCUUAUGGGUAGGGCUCCACACGUCAUACAAUGGUCGGUACAGAGGGUCGCCAAGCCGCGAGGUGGAGCCAAUCCCAGAAAGCCGAUCGUAGUCCGGAUUGCAGGCUGCAACUCGCCUGCAUGAAGUCGGAAUCGCUAGUAAUCGUGGAUCAGCAUGUCACGGUGAAUACGUUCCCGGGUCUUGUACACACCGCCCGUCACACCAUGGGAGCGGGUUCCGCCAGAAGUAGGUAGCCUAACCGCAAGGAGGGCGCUUACCACGGCGGGGUUCGUGACUGGGGUGAAGUCGUAACAAGGUAGCCGUAGGGGAACCUGCGGCUG